AGUGACGAUAGCCUAGGAGAUACACCUGUUCCCAUGCCGAACACAGAAGUUAAGCCCUAGCACGCCUGAUGUAGUUGGGGGGUUGCCCCCUGUUAGAUAUGGUAGUCGCUUAGCA
rnacentral:rRNA from 2 species